GAUGAACGCUGGCGGCGUGCCUAAUACAUGCAAGUCGAGCGAACGGACGAGAAGCUUGCUUCUCUGAUGUUAGCGGCGGACGGGUGAGUAACACGUGGAUAACCUACCUAUAAGACUGGGAUAACUUCGGGAAACCGGAGCUAAUACCGGAUAAUAUUUUGAACCGCAUGGUUCAAAAGUGAAAGACGGUCUUGCUGUCACUUAUAGAUGGAUCCGCGCUGCAUUAGCUAGUUGGUAAGGUAACGGCUUACCAAGGCAACGAUGCAUAGCCGACCUGAGAGGGUGAUCGGCCACACUGGAACUGAGACACGGUCCAGACUCCUACGGGAGGCAGCAGUAGGGAAUCUUCCGCAAUGGGCGAAAGCCUGGCGGAGCAACGCCGCGUGAGUGAUGAAGGUCUUCGGAUUGUAAAACUCUGUUAUUAGGGAAGAACAUAUGUGUAAGUAACUGUGCACAUCUUGACGGUACCUAAUCAGAAAGCCACGGCUAACUACGUGCCAGCAGCCGCGGUAAUACGUAGGUGGCAAGCGUUAUCCGGAAUUAUUGGGCGUAAAGCGCGCGUAGGCGGUUUUUUAAGUCUGAUGUGAAAGCCCACGGCUCAACCGUGGAGGGUCAUUGGAAACUGGAAAACUUGAGUGCAGAAGAGGAAAGUGGAAUUCCAUGUGUAGCGGUGAAAUGCGCAGAGAUAUGGAGGAACACCAGUGGCGAAGGCGACUUUCUGGUCUGUAACUGACGCUGAUGUGCGAAAGCGUGGGGAUCAAACAGGAUUAGAUACCCUGGUAGUCCACGCCGUAAACGAUGAGUGCUAAGUGUUAGGGGGUUUCCGCCCCUUAGUGCUGCAGCUAACGCAUUAAGCACUCCGCCUGGGGAGUACGACCGCAAGGUUGAAACUCAAAGGAAUUGACGGGGACCCGCACAAGCGGUGGAGCAUGUGGUUUAAUUCGAAGCAACGCGAAGAACCUUACCAAAUCUUGACAUCCUUUGACAACUCUAGAGAUAGAGCUUUCCCCUUCGGGGGACAAAGUGACAGGUGGUGCAUGGUUGUCGUCAGCUCGUGUCGUGAGAUGUUGGGUUAAGUCCCGCAACGAGCGCAACCCUUAAGCUUAGUUGCCAUCAUUAAGUUGGGCACUCUAAGUUGACUGCCGGUGACAAACCGGAGGAAGGUGGGGAUGACGUCAAAUCAUCAUGCCCCUUAUGAUUUGGGCUACACACGUGCUACAAUGGACAAUACAAAGGGCAGCGAAACCGUGAGGUCAAGCAAAUCCCAUAAAGUUGUUCUCAGUUCGGAUUGUAGUCUGCAACUCGACUACAUGAAGCUGGAAUCGCUAGUAAUCGUAGAUCAGCAUGCUACGGUGAAUACGUUCCCGGGUCU
rnacentral:rRNA from 1 species